rnacentral:tRNA from 1 species
UUGAAUGACAACGAUGGUUUUUCAUAUCAUUAGUCAUGGUUAGAUUCCAUGUA